rnacentral:lncRNA from 10 species
GACGGCGCAGCAGAGCCCGAGGAGGCCCCACCCUCCGUGCGCUCGUUGGCUGGCGAGGGAGACGAGCCUGGGCGCCUUGGGCACGCCCAUUGGCUCCGACGGCCGUCCUUCAGGGCGCCCCCUCGGUGGGGUGGCCGAAGAGCUGUCCGUCAGGUGCGGGCCACACCCGCGGCCCUGCAGUUCCACUCCCGCCUGCCAGCCCUCAACUCCCGGUCGGGUUGUCUCCCCGCCGGUCUCCCGCCCCCAGCUACCGGGUCCGCCAGGGUCAGGAGCCCGAGAUUCGCCGCCCGUCGUAGCGGCCCGCUUCGGCCCCUCGGGGCCCGGGGCUCUCCGGGACCUACACAGCCCGGGAGACUCCGGCGGGGCUGCCUGCCCUCGCCCGAGCCCGGGGGCCCAAGCUGCGGCAGCGGCUCCCAACGCCUCUGCUCGAGGAGAGCGGCGGCCUGGAUGCCCCAGCGCCCUCCCUGUCCAGUUCCUUGAAGGCCCCCAAGAGGGGCGAGGCCGGGGAGGUGCUGGAGCGGGGCCAAGUGAGCUUUCGGGGCCGCGGUUGAACUGGAGUCUUGAGUGCGCUGCGGUCAGUGGAGGCCCUUCCACCCUCGCCGCGCCCCGUGGGGAAUAGUCCCCCACCUCCCGCCAUGGCUGCAGCAGGAGGAGACGACGUCCUCCAUUUUGUCGGGACAACUGUGGGAACUUGGGACCCCUCAAAACCAAACCCCGUGGGGCCAGGACUUGUCCCGGAAGCCCCGACUGGGCUCUGCCAUUCGGACAAGGGAACAGCCCCAGCUGCCGGCGUCUGCGUCCGCGGGGCAGUACUGGUCGGGCGCGACGGUGGAGACACCCAGACGCAGCUCCCCGCCUCCAUCAACCAAGAUGGAGGGAGCUGCAGGCUCCCUUGGAGCUGGGCUCUCGCGGGUUGGAGGGGCUGAGGCCUGCCCUGGGGCGUCCCUGGGCGCCGCCGUCCUGUGCUAGCAGCCCGGGGCGCUGGCCCUGCCUAGGCCUUUUUACUGCCUGCCACCGUCUCCUGGUCCGGAAUGGUUGAUGGAGACUCCAUGGAGGCUCCCUCCACAGCCCGCUCUAUCGCGGGGCGCACCCGCUGCGGCCCCUGCGGGGAGCAGAAUCAGGGACAGAUGGCGCCCGGUGAGGGCGGGCCCCACAGGCCACCUCCACGAGGGGUCUUCUCUUUUGUUCCUCGUCUACACCUACGUCUUCGGCGGAUGUCAUGGUGCUGAACCAUUUCCCGGACUCCACGUAAAGAUGGAAGCGAUUCCGCUUUCGUCUCGCCCUGGCGGUUCUUAGUGGGAUUACAAUUGAGGAUGUUAGUUUGGAUGAAAGUUGGUGAAAUACUUACCUUAUGUCUGGAAAUACAGAUAAUGUGAUUUUUAAAAAACACAUUGAGCCCCGUUUUACUUCUGUGGUAUGGUAAAGGCACAGGUUUAUUCAAUGAAAAUCAGACGUUAACCAUCUAAUGCAGGGGUGGCCAAUCUUUUGGCUUCCCGGGGCCACAUUGGAAGAAUUGGCUUGGGCCACACAUAAAAUACGCUAACAGUAACAAUAGCUGAUGAGCUAAAACAAACGAAAAAACCAAAACGCCAAAAAAAUCUCAUAACGUUUUAAGAAAAUUUACAAAUAUGUGUUGGGCUGCAUUCAAAGCCGUCCUGGGCCGCAUGCAACCCCCAAGGGCUGCAGGUUGGACAAGCUUGAUCUAAGACAAAAGCAUGUUCACGGAUUGAUGAGAGUUCUGUGUAAGCCUUUGCAUAUUGCAUAGUGCUGUAUGUCAUGGAUAUGCCUAAUAUCACCUACAUUUUUUAGGUCCUCAGUUACUCUUUGGAAAUAAGUGAAUUACAUGUAAUGUCAUCAUUUUAAUGACUGCUGUAAAUUACAAGCACUGACUACCCUGAGUUCGUGGAGAAGGGCUCCAUAGAGAAAAUUUGAAGGUCUGACAGAAACUUUAAAUGGGAGUACCUCUAAAGCAAGCUUGUCCAACCAGUGGCCAGGAGGUGGCAUGUAGCCCA